GAUGAACGCUAGCGGCAGGCUUAACACAUGCAAGUCGAGGGGUAGAGUUAGCUUGCUAACUUGAGACCGGCGCACGGGUGCGUAACGCGUAUGCAAUCUACCUUGUACAGGGGGAUAGCCCAGAGAAAUUUGGAUUAAUACCCCAUAGCGUUAUGAUGUGGCAUCACAUUAUAACUAAAGUUCCAACGGUACAAGAUGAGCAUGCGUCCCAUUAGCUAGUUGGUGUGGUAACGGCAUACCAAGGCAACGAUGGGUAGGGGUCCUGAGAGGGAGAUCCCCCACACUGGUACUGAGACACGGACCAGACUCCUACGGGAGGCAGCAGUGAGGAAUAUUGGUCAAUGGGCGCAAGCCUGAACCAGCCAUGCCGCGUGCAGGAUGACGGUCCUAUGGAUUGUAAACUGCUUUUGUACAGGAAGAAACACUCCCUCGUGAGGGAGCUUGACGGUACUGUAAGAAUAAGGAUCGGCUAACUCCGUGCCAGCAGCCGCGGUAAUAC
rnacentral:rRNA from 1 species